ACGCACUGUAUCUGAACCUGUAGAGCCCCUUCAUGGCUCAACAGGUAAAGCAACAGUGCAACAGUAAAAGCUUGUUAUAACUGGAGUAUCUUAGAUUUUCCCCUAAGUUGCUCUUUUAAAAGCAGUCAACAACU